AGAAUCUUAGGUUAAACCUUAAACCCUUAGCCUUCAAAGCUUAAAUUAAACUUUAUUGUUUAGAUUCUG
rnacentral:tRNA from 1 species